UUACGGGUGAAGAUAAGACGGAUUAGCGGCGGACGGGUGAGUAACACGUGAGUAACCUGCCUUUUACACAGGGAUAGCCUCGGGAAACCGGGAUUAAAACCUGAUGAAACUAUCAAAUCACAUGAUUAAGAAAGUUAAAACUCCGGUGGUAAAAGAUGGACUCGCGUCCCAUUAGCUAGUUGGUGAAGGUAACGGCCCACCAAGGCAACGAUGGGUAGCCGGCCUGAGAGGGUGAACGGCCACAUUGGAACUGAGAAACGGUCCAAACUCCUACGGGAGGCAGCAGUU
rnacentral:rRNA from 1 species